UGAGUUUAGGGCAAGGUUCUUUGAUUCACUCUGGGCAUCGCAUGGGACACACAGCAAAAUUCUCAGGACGUUCGGUAACAAACUUUUACAAAGGGAAACUUUAGAAACUUACGGUAGAAUCAAGUACUUGACAAAUUUUAAACCAACAUCCAAAGUAAGGCAUGUCACAAACUUUAACUUAUCCAGACACAACAAGGCAUGCACAGGAAUUUUUUAGUCUGGCUUACAAUAUACUGCAAGACGAAGUUUGGAGAAGAAAGAGAGAGAGAAGCAUGUGCUGUAUGACAAUGUCUGUCAAAAAUGUACCUGGUUAGAUUUUAUAGGGACAGACAGAACCAGUCAAUUAAGUGCCUUGCAGUCACGCAGUGAAGGAGUUUAUGGGGGUUUAUGGUCUGUGGGUAAAAGCCAUUAAGCUCUCUGGGCCAUGAACCAGGUCUGAGCGUGGCACUGUACAAACCCGGCCUGUGUCCUGAGAGACACCACCUGUGAGUGGUGGUGGAGAUGGAAAUCAGAGCUUCUGAAGAUUUAAGGGAACUGCUGUUCUUGCUUUCUUAGCCACCACUGCACUUGAGCACCACUUCGUCCUCAAGGCCAUGUCACAGUUUCAGUUCCUUCAGUGUCGGGGUUGGUGUCACUGCCUAAAUGGGAGGUGCCUCUUGUGUUGGUGGUGCCCUCGGGGAGCACGUGCAGCACUGGGAUCUCAGGGGCUCUCUGAUGUCUCUUGCAGGGACUGGGCAAGUGCUUCGCUGUGAUGCCAUAGUUGAUCUAAUUCAUGGCAUCCAAAUUGUGUCCACCACGAGAGAGCUCUACCUUGAGGAUUCCCCCCUGCAGCUCAAAAUUCUGGCUUUGGAUUCGGAAGUGCCAGAUUAACCCAAAUUGGAAGUCAACUUCCCAGAAUCCCAUCUGAACACUCUCAGUAUGCUUCAUUUGUUUAAACUGCCAGGACAGCCAAACCUUUGGGAAGGCACCUUCUUCCCAGCUUCAAAUGUGUUUCACUGAAGGCCAGAGGCACAUCAUCAGUCAUCACAGAUUGCUUUUACCCCACUGGAAAUGCUCCCCUCGUUUGGUGUGAUGCCAGUUCCUACUGAGAGCUCCUCAAAGCCUCCCAGCAUGUUUAGGACUCGGGCAACCGAGUGCCAGUGGAAAGGAAUGAGGAGUCUAGAGCAGGACUCAGGACAGUAUUUCCAAAAUGCCAGCAGUUUACUGCUCCAAGAUGCAAGCUGUUGUGAACUGCAGGCCAUCAUCCUCUUCAUGGACACUCAACUCACAAACCUGCAUCAAUUCACAGCAAAAGAUGCAAUUUAACUCUGCCCAUUUGGAGGGUGUUCAAGGAUAAGGACAUGCAGAAAUGUGCUGAGGGGCAGAGCAUCUGGAGUCACAAAGAUGCACUUUUAAGAGAAUUUGGAAAGUUAAUAAAAUAUUUAGAUCCUUACAGCUAUCCUUACAGAUAGCUUUUUGCA